AGAGUUUGAUCCUGGCUCAGGACGAACGCUGGCGGCAUGCUUAACACAUGCAAGUCGAGGGGCACUUCGGUGCCACUGGUGCACGGGUGAGUAACACGUAGGUCAUCUGCCCCUAUCACAGACAUAACCCCGGGAAACCGGGGCUAAUAUCUGAUGAGGUCGCGAGAUCAAAGCUUCGGCGGAUAGGGAUGAGCCUGCGGCUGAUUAGCUAGUUGGUGAGGUAAUGGCUCACCAAGGCGACGAUCAGUAGCUGGUCUGAGAGGACGAACAGCCACACUGGAACUGAGACACGGUCCAGACUCCUACGGGAGGCAGCAGUGAGGAAUAUUGGUCAAUGGGCGCAAGCCUGAACCAGCAAUGCCGCGUGUGGGAUGACGGCGCUUUGCGUUGUAAACCACUGUCGGACGGGACGAAAAGAGGCAACAGCCUCCGAGACGGUACCGUCAAAGGAAGGGUCGGCUAACUACGUGCCAGCAGCCGCGGUAAUACGUAGGACCCAAGCGUUGUCCGGAUUCACUGGGUAUAAAGGGUGCGUAGGCGGUCUUGUGCGUCAGAGGUGAAAUAUCCGGGCUCAACCCGGAGGGUGCCUUUGAUACGGCAGGACUUGAGUGCGAGAGAGGAUGAUGGAAUUCCUGGUGUAGCGGUGAAAUGCGUAGAUAUCAGGAGGAACACCGGUGGCGAAGGCGGUCAUCUGGCUCGCAACUGACGCUGAGGCACGAAAGCGUGGGGAUCAAACAGGAUUAGAUACCCUGGUAGUCCACGCCCUAAACGAUGUAUGCUUGGUGUUGGGUCCGCAAGGA
rnacentral:rRNA from 1 species